rnacentral:pre_miRNA from 1 species
GUGUGUGUGCGACGGAACGGGCCGCAGAGGAUCGGGAUGUAUGCACGGUCGUCCCCGUCUCAAACUUCCUCGUGUCCCCUGUUCCCCAUCCUUCCACCCAUGC